UACGAAGGUGGCAAGCGUUAUUCGGAUUUACUGGGCGUACAGGGAGCGUAGGCGGUUCGGUAAGCCCUUUGUGAAAUCUUCAGGCUUAACCUGGAACAGUCGGAGGGGACUGCCGGGCUGGAGGACGGGAGAGGAGCGCGGAAUUCCACGUGUAGCAGUGAAAUGCGUAGAGAUGUGGAGGAACACCGAUGGCGAAGGCAGCCCCCUGGGCUGAGAUUGACGCUCAGGCACGAAAGCGUGGGGAGCAAACAGG
rnacentral:rRNA from 1 species